UAGUUCUUCCUUCUUCCUUCUUACUUCUUCCUUCUUGGUCCAUAGUUAAUCUUUGGCUCUCAGAUUAUUUCCUUCUUCUUUUUCUUCUUCUUUUGUUGUCAUUUUUGUUCGUUCUAUAUCUUUUACUUCCUCUCUCCUCCAGUCGCUCUCACCCUCAAAACCAGAUCGAAAAACAUACCAAACACCAAACAACCAAAUCUGAAUCGUACCUUCGCCAUCCGUUUCGUCUUCCUUCUCUCUUAGCCUCUCACAUCCUGCUUCAUUUCCUAUGAAACCAAUCUUGGCCCAAAAUCCGUAAUACCCAAAUCAAAAAACCUAACACCUCAGUCCCAAAUACCUCCUCCAAUCUCACUUGCUCUCUCGACUUCUUGCUUAGCAAUCAGUUGCUUGUCGCACUCAAUUUCUGUACUUGCAAUCGAAAUCUUGUGGCUCGUUAGCAAUUGAAAGGGGCUUCUGGGGCGGAAGAGGACUGCGCAUAUUGGGUCCAAGAAAGCUGAGAGAGGUAGUGAUGGCUCUUCUAUGGAAGGAAGAAGGUCUGGCCUUGUGCAUGAGAGUUCUUCUUCAUAGAUUCGAGUUUCAGCUGUCCUGACAAAUGGUGCAUAUCUUUUGAACGUCGAUUGUGAUCACUACUUCAAUAACAGUAAAGCUGUUAAGGAAGCAAUGUGUUUCAUGAUGGACCCAGAUUAUGGGAAGAAGACCUGCU